UCCUGUCAUUUGUCAAGUGUCCAGAGAUCACUCCUGUCAUGUCCACAGAUGCUGUCUAGUCCCCAGAGUUCACUCCUGUCAUGUCCACGGAAGAUGUUGUCAAGCAUCCAGAGUUCACUCCUGUCAUGUCCACGGAAGAUGUUGUCAAGUCAUGCCUUCAGAGGUUGUCCCUACCCAUCAUGUCUGGGCCAUACAAAGUGUUCCUGCUUGUCCUGUCACUCCUAUAGAGGUCGUUCCUGCCAGUUGGGUCAUGGCCAUAGUUGUUCCUACCGUCAAGUUAUGGCCAUAUAAAAUGUUCCUGUCUGUCCUGUUAUGUCCUCGAAGGCCGCCCUUGCCAGUUGGGUCAUGGCCAUGGAGAUGCGUUCUUGUUUGUCUUGUCAAGCCCACAAAGGUGGUUCCUGCUAGAAGUUGCACUCACUGAGAUCAUACUGGAUCAGCUAACUGCUGCUUCUGACGAGUCCCUCAGAGGAUGUUCCUGCCUAGAAGUUGCACCACUGAGAUCAUACCAGACCAGCUAUCUGCUGCUUCUAACGAGUCCCUCAGAGUGAUCCAGCUAGUCAUGUUCCACCUGUGGAGGCUAUCCCCCAGUAUACUAUCCCUGUCAUGACCUCUGAAGAUGUUCCUGAACAGUCUGCUCAACCACAGUGCUACCGCUUGAUGCUGACUUUCACCACAACCCCCCCCCCCCCGCUACCUGCA
ensembl:lncRNA